rnacentral:tRNA from 1 species
GGCCGAGAGGCUGAAGGCGCUCCCCUGCUAAGGGAGUAUGCGGUCAAAAGCUGCAUCGAGGGUUCGAAUCCCUC